rnacentral:rRNA from 1 species
CCUACGGGGGGCUGCAGUGGGGAAUUUUGGACAAUGGGGGCAACCCUGAUCCAGCCAUUCCGCGUGAGUGAAGAAGGCCUUCGGGUUGUAAAGCUCUUUUGUCCGGAGCGAAACGGGCGGCCCUAAUACGGUCGUCUACUGACGGUACCGGAAGAAUAAGCCCCGGCUAACUACGUGCCAGCAGCCGCGGUAAUACUUAGGGUGUGAGUGUUAAUCGGAAUUGCGCGGCGUAAAUCGUGCGCAGGAUGUUAAAUCCCCGGGCUCAACCUGGGAAUGGCAUUUGGGACUGCAAGGCUGGAGUGUGGCAGAGGGGACUAGAAUUCCUGGUGUAGCAGUGAAAUGCGUAGAUAUCAGGAGGAAUACCGAUGGCGAAGGCAGGUCCCUGGGUUAACACUGACGCUCAUGCACGAAAGCGUGGGGAGCAAACAGGAUUAGAUACCCCAGUAGUC